rfam:Oryza nivara chromosome 12, whole genome shotgun sequence.
UUUAAAUGCAGUUGUGGGUUUAUUGUAUCCAACGUCUGACCGUCCAUCUUAUUUAAAUUUUUUUAUGAUUAAUAUUUUUGUUGUUAUUAGGUGAUAAAACAUAAAUAGUACUUUAUGCGUGACUUAUUUUUCAACUUUUUUCAUAUGUUUUAAAUAAGAUAAACAGUAAACGUUAGACAUGGGUACCACAACUAUUAUUAAA